GUAGGUAGAACUUUGCAAGAGAUUCACAAAUGUAGAUAGCAUAUGAAUUAAUUUUAAAAUAAAUAAAUCAAGUUAUUAGGUUAUCUGAAAACUUAAAUUAAAGAGCAACAUAUAAUUUGUAGGUCUAGAAUUUAGUCAUUUAACCUCCAUAGUUAAAAGAGCCAGUAGUUAAUGUGAUUAGGUUCAUUAAAUAGAGAGCAAUUAGUCAAGUCAUAUGCAACAUUUUAUUGUAUAGGUAAAAUAAAGCGGCAACCUUCAUCAUUUUUCCAUAAGCAUGAUUAUACCAAAAACUAUUAUCAUCGUGGGGACCUCAAGGUGAUGGUGAUCAUGAUUUAUUGAAAAUAAAACUAGGUUGUACUCCUAGUAGCCAUGUUUUUAUAGGGAGAGAUAUACAAAGGUUGCAUCGAAUUUAUGAUUGAAGGCUUAUAUGCACAUGCAUUUAGAAAGAAAUGUACAAAGAGAAGGUUGAGGAAGAAUUUACACAGGCAUCGAUGCUUGCAAUGAAGUGUAGUGCAGCUUCCCCCAUGUUUAAGCAUUGUGCUUAGCAUGGAAGAAGAAAAAUAAGUAGCUUGUGGCGAUCGUGAUCAUUGUACUCUACGCGGCAUUUUUAUUAUUGUCUAGCAAGUUCUCC
rnacentral:lncRNA from 1 species